rnacentral:rRNA from 1 species
AACGUAGGGGGCGAGCGUUGUCCGGAAUUACUGGGCGUAAAGGGCGCGUAGGCGGUUCCUUAAGUCAGAGGUGAAAACUGUCGGCUCAACCGGCAGCCUGCCUUUGAAACUGGGGGACUUGAGGGCAGGAGAGGGGAGUGGAAUUCCCAGUGUAGCGGUGAAAUGCGUAGAUAUUGGGAGGAACACCAGUGGCGAAGGCGACUCUCUGGCCUGUUACUGACGCUGAGGCGCGAAAGCGUGGGGAUCAAAC